UCUUUUAGAGUCCGAGUUGUAAUUUGCAGAGGGCGCUUUGGCUUUGGCAGCGGUCCAAGUUCCUUGGAACAGGACGUCACAGAGGGUGAGAAUCCCGUACGUGGUCGCUGGCUAUUGCCGUGUAAAGCCCCUUCGACGAGUCGAGUUGUUUGGGAAUGCAGCUCUAAAUGGGAGGUACAUUUCUUCUAAAGCUAAAUAUUGGCCAGAGACCGAUAGCGCACAAGUAGAGUGAUCGAAAGAUGAAAAGCACUUUGGAAAGAGAGUCAAACAGCACGUGAAAUUGUUGAAAGGGAAGCGCUUGCAGCCAGACUUGCUUACAGUUGCUCAUCCGGGUUUCUACCCGGUGCACUCUUCUGUAGGCAGGCCAGCAUCAGUUUGGGCGGUAGGAUAAAGGUCUCUGUCACGUACCUCCUUUCGGGGAGGCCUUAUAGGGGAGACGACAUACUACCAGCCUGGACUGAGGUCCGCGCAUCUGCUAGGAUGCUGGCGUAAUGGCUGUAAGCGGCCCGUCUUGAAACACGGACCAAGGAGUCUAACAUCUAUGCGAGUGUUUGGGUGUCAAGCCCGAGCGCGUAAUGAAAGUGAACGGAGGUGGGAACCCGCAAGGGUGCACCAUCGACCGAUCCUGAUGUCUUCGGAAGGAUUUGAGUAAGAGCAUGGCUGUUGGGACCCGAAAGAUGGUGAACUAUGCUUGAAUAGGGUGAAGCCAGAGGAAACUCUGGUGGAGGCUCGCAGCGGUUCUGACGUGCAAAUCGAUCGUCAAAUUUGGGCAU
rnacentral:rRNA from 1 species